rnacentral:rRNA from 1 species
UUAAAUUUGUAAGGGCGUAUGGUGGAUGCCUUGGCAUUAGAAGCUGAUGAAGGACGUGACUAACUACGAUAUGCUUCGGGGAGAUGUACGUAAUCUUUGAUCCGGAGAUUUCCGAAUGGGGGAACCCACUAGUGGUAAUGCACUAGUAUCACAUAAUGAAUAUAUAGUUAUGUAGAAAGCAACCCAGUGAACUGAAACAUCUUAGUAACUGGAGGAACAGAAAGAAAAAUCGAUUUCCUUAGUAGUGGCGAGCGAAACGGAAAGAGCCCAAACCGACUUUAGAGUCGGGGUUGUAGGACCUCUCUAUAAGAGUUACAAAUUCAUAACAUAGUUGAACUUUUCUGGAAAGUUAGACGAAACAAGGUGACAGUCCUGUAAACGAAAUGUUAUGAACUCUUUGAGGUAUCCUGAGUACAACGAGACACGAGAAAUCUUGUUGGAAUCUGCGGGGACCAUCCCGUAAGGCUAAAUACUCUCUAAUGACCGAUAGUGAACAAGUACCGUGAGGGAAAGGUGAAAAGAACCCCGGGAGGGGAGUGAAAUAGAAACUGAAACCGUAUGCUUACAAAAAGUUCGAGCACAUUAAUGUGUGAGAGCGUGCCUUUUGCAGAAUGAACCGGCGAGUUAUUGUAUUAUGCAAGGUUAAGUCGAACAGAUGGAGCCGAAGCGAAAGCGAGUCUGAAUAGGGCGCUUAAGUAUGAUGCAAUAGACCCGAAACCGAGUGAUCUAGCCAUGAGCAGGUUGAAGUUGGGGUAAGACCCAAUGGAGGACCGAACCGAUAUGCCCGGAAACGCGUACGGAUGACUUGUGGUUAGCGGAGAAAUUCCAAACGAACUCGGAGAUAGCUGGUUCUCCCCGAAAUAGGUUUAGGCCUAGCCUUGAUUGAAUCUGCCCGGAGGUAGAGCACUGAAUGUGCGAUGGCGUCGUCUAGAUGUACUGAGUACAAUCAAACUCCGAAUGCUGGGUAGUACUAAUCAGGAGUCACUGUAUGGGUGAUAACGUCCAUACGGGAGAGGAAAAGAAUCCGGAUCGCCAGCUAAGGUCCCAAAAUUUGUGUUAAGUGGGAAAGGAUGUAGAGUUGUCAAAACAGCUAGGAGGUUGGCUUAGAAGCAGCCACCCUUUAAAGAGUGCGUAAUAGCUCACUAGUCGAGUGACACUGCGCCGAAGAUGUACCGGGGCUAAACACAAUACCGAAGCUGCGGACUUGCAUGUAAGUGCAAGUGGUAGGGGAGCGUUCUAAGUGCUGAGAAGGUAGACCGUAAGGACUGCUGGAGCGCUUAGAAGUGAGAAUGCCGGUGUGAGUAACGAAAAUUGGGUGAGAAUCCCAUUCACCGUUUGACUAAGGGUUCCUGGGUAAAGUUCGUCUUCCCAGGGUAAGUCAGGACCUAAGAUGAGGCUGAAAAGCGUAGUCGAUGGACAACAGGUUGAUAUUCCUGUACCACCUAUAUGACUGAAGGAGUGACGGAGAAAGCUAGUGAGAGCCAGUUAAUGGAUUCUGGUCUAAGUGCGUAGGCUAGUAUGUUGGCAAAUCCGCAAUACUAUAACAGCUGAAACAUGAUGGGGAAGAGAGUCUUCGGACAAUCGAACUUUCAUGAUGCUAAGCUUCCAAGAAAAGCUUCUAGGGUUAAUCGUAUAGGUGCCUGUACCGACAACCGACACAGGUGGUCAAGGAGAGUAUCCUAAGGUGAGCGAGAGAACUAUGGUUAAGGAACUCGGCAAAAUGACCCCGUAACUUCGGGAGAAGGGGUGGUCUAGCGAUAGACCCGCAGUGAAUAGGCCCAGGCAACUGUUUACCAAAAACACAGGUCUCUGCUAACACGUAAGUGGAUGUAUAGGGGCUGACGCCUGCCCAGUGCUGGAAGGUUAAAGAGAUUAGUUAGUAUGACGUAAGUCGAUAAUACGAAGCUUUGAACUGAAGCCCCAGUGAACGGCGGCCGUAACUAUAACGGUCCUAAGGUAGCGAAAUUCCUUGUCAGGUAAG